rnacentral:rRNA from 1 species
GACGAACGCUGGCGGCGUGCUUAACACAUGCAAGUCGAACGGAAAGGCCCUGCUUUUGUGGGGUGCUCGAGUGGCGAACGCGUGUGUAACACGUGAGUAUCCUGCCCUUGACUUUGGGAUAACUUCAGGAGACUGGGGCUCAUACCCGAUAGGAGCUCCUGAUGCAUGGUGGUGGUUGGAAAGUUUCGGCGGUUGGGGAUGGACUGGCAGCUUAUCAGCUUGUUGGUGGGGUAGUGGCUUACCAAGGGUUUGAGGGGUAGCCGGCCUGGGAGGCGGACCGGCCACAUUGGGCCUGAGAUACGGCGCAGACGCCUACGGGAGGCAGCAGUGGGGAAUAUUGCAGAAUGGGCGGACGCCUGAUGCAGAAGCGCCGCGUGCGGGAUGACGGCCUUCGGGUUGUAAACCGCUUUCGACGGUGACGAAGCGUGAGUGACGGUAAUGGGUAAAGAAGCACCGGCUAACUACGUG